rnacentral:rRNA from 1 species
AACGAACGCUGGCGGCAUGCCUAACACAUGCAAGUCGAACGAACCCUUCGGGGUUAGUGGCGCACGGGUGCGUAACGCGUGGGAAUCUGCCCUUUGCUUCGGAAUAACUCAGGGAAACUUGUGCUAAUACCGGAUGAUGUCUUCGGACCAAAGAUUUAUCGGCAAGGGAUGAGCCCGCGUAGGAUUAGGUAGUUGGUGGGGUAAAGGCCUACCAAGCCGACGAUCCUUAGCUGGUCUGAGAGGAUGAUCAGCCACACUGGGACUGAGACACGGCCCAGACUCCUACGGGAGGCGGCAGUGGGGAAUAUGGGACAAUGGGCGCAAGCCUGAUCCAGCAAUGCCGCGUGAGUGAUGAAGGCGCUCGGGUCGUAAAGCUCUUUUACCAGGGAUGAUAAUGACAGUACCAGGAGAAUAAGCUCCGGCUAACUCCGU